CGUAGGGUGCGAGCGUUAAUCGGAAUUACUGGGCGUAAAGUGUGCGCAGGUGGCUGAGCAAGUCGAGUGUGAAAUCCCCGGGCUUAACUUGGGAAUUGCGCUCGAAACUACUUGGCUCGAGUGUGGCAGAGGAAGGUGGAAUUCCAGGUGUAGCGGUGAAAUGCGUAGAGAUCUGGAGGAACACCGAUGGCGAAGGCAGCCUUCUGGGCCAACACUGACGCUCAUGCACGAAAGCGUGGGGAGCAAACAGGAUUAGAUACCCUGGUAGUCCACGCCCUAAACGAUGAUGACUAGUUGUUGGGGGAGUUAAAUCCCUUAGUAACGCAGCUAACGCGUGAAGUCACCCGCCUGGGGAGUACGGUCGCAAGAUUA
rnacentral:rRNA from 1 species